CUUCUUGCUCUCAGCCGAUUCACCGACGUUUUAUUAUGUUUUGGAACUAUUUUCAAAUUUAGGAUGACAAUUUGGAGACUCUUAAAAUGUUCCCUCAAUAACAACACAACUUUAGACCACUUUAACUAUUUUUAAAUAACAAAUAUUUAAGGACACAAUGUUUACAUGUCAGAAUGUGACAGAUGAAGAUGAACGAUAAUACUAUUGUCUGUUUAUAUUCAAAAUGUCAUCGAGAGUCUGAACGUUUUGAAAUUGAUCUUUACAGAUAAGUUGCUCAAAAUAUACGAAAAAUAAUUAAUACAGUUAAAACAAAAUCCACCGAUCCUUGUUAAGUUUACAAAGUUUGAAUUCAAUCAAAAUUCAAUGUCCGUAUAUAGUGGGUCAAAAUCGAGUCAUACAAACAUACAAUACAUACAAACAUUCAGAGAGCAGAGGAAUCGGAGGCACGCACCCAGCGGUCCUUGACGAGCACGUAGUCGGCGAGCGCGCCGGGUCGGUGCGGCGGCAGCACGCCCCACACGCGCGCGCCCGGCCGCAGGCGCGCCGCCGGCCCCGCGCGCUCCACGCGCCCGCAGAAGUCGCGCCCCGGCACCAGCGGCAGCUCGCUCAGCUCCGCCGCGCCCGCCGCGCUCUCCGCGCGCCGCAGCACGUUCAGCACGCGCGACCCGUACCCACCUGCUCCCGCACAAUAUAUUUAUAUGUUCCUGAGCUGCGCCACCUUAACUGCCUACCUUCUAUUCCAAGCGCACACACAGUGAAAGCAUAUUAUGACACUUUCCAUUCUAGUAAAAAUUGUAAUGCAACAUCAGACUACUUAGAACUACCUGUGUCGCGCAGUUUCACCCGCGGCCGUACCCAGAUACAAAUUCAAGUACUUCUAUACCUCAUGUGUUAAUGUGAUGUAUAACUUAAAUUUCUGUAAAAUUUCAUCGGAAUCUGUCUAGUAGUUUUUUAGUGAAAGAGUAACAGACAUCGAUCCAUCCCAUGCUUACAAACUUUGAUGUUCAUAAUAUUAGCAGGAUAGUAGAAUGAGUUUGAGUGGCCAGCCAUUCUCACACAUAAGGCAAAAAGUAGACAUACCGAGCAUAGCCACAUCAAGUGGAUUUAGAGAUGCAGCAUGUACUUUAACAAGCACAUCGUCAGUGCUCCUCAGAGCUGGCACACGAGCACUGUCCAGUUGCAGCUCUGCCAGGCCGCCAUAGCUGUGCACUCGCCACGCCCUCAUUCUGCUAGCCACACUUUUCACUUGGCUUUCUAACAUUCUUUUUACUGUAAUAACGUUAUCAAAAUAAUAAAAUUAAAUUAUUAAAGCAAUUUUGUGAAAAAUAAAAUAUUGUGUUAAAAAGCUGAAAGCAUAUCCAUUUCCAUUGUGUAUAAAUAAAUGUUUUUUCUUUCUUUCA